CUACCGGGGUUUCUAAUCCUGUUUGAUCCCCACGCUUUCGUGCCUCAGCGUCAAUAUAUGUGUAGCCUGCUGCCUUCGCAAUAGGUGUUCUAUGUCAUAUCUAAGCAUUUCACCGCUACAUGACAUAUUCCGCAAACCUCCACAAUAUUCAAGAUAUAUAGUAUCAAUGGCAGUUUCGGAGUUAAGCUCCGAGAUUUCACCACUGACUUACAUACCCGCCUACGCACCCUUUAAACCCAGUGAAUCCGGAUAACGCUUGCACCCUCCGUAUUACCGCGGCUGCUGGCAC
rnacentral:rRNA from 1 species